AGUGAACGCUGGCGGUAGGCCUAACACAUGCAAGUCGAACGGCAGCACAGUAAGAGCUUGCUCUUACGGGUGGCGAGUGGCGGACGGGUGAGGAAUACAUCGGAAUCUACUUUUUCGUGGGGGAUAACGUAGGGAAACUUACGCUAAUACCGCAUACGACCUACGGGUGAAAGCAGGGGAUCUUCGGACCUUGCGCGAUUGAAUGAGCCGAUGUCGGAUUAGCUAGUUGGCGGGGUAAAGGCCCAUCAAGGCGACGAUCCGUAGCUGGUCUGAGAGGAUGAUCAGCCACACUGGAACUGAGACACGGUCCAGACUCCUACGGGAGGCAGCAGUGGGGAAUAUUGGACAAUGGGCGCAAGCCUGAUCCAGCCAUACCGCGUGGGUGAAGAAGGCCUGCGGGUUGUAAAGCCCUUUUGUUGGGAAAGAAAAGCAGCAGGUUAAUACCCCGCUGUUCUGACGGUACCCAAAGAAUAAGCACCGGCUAACUUCGU
rnacentral:rRNA from 1 species